UAGCGCUUUCGCGUCACUACUUUCACCUCUUCCUUUUAUCGGCGGAUUCCAGAAAGGGCUCGCUUGACCGACUACAGAUGGAUGCUCAGACUGGAUCUCUCACCAUCAGAAACCUCACCAUCAACGACACUGGACUUUAUCAGCUUCAAAUCAUCCGUGAACAGGUGUCCCAGCUUCAGUGCCUACUCCUAACAUCAGAAACACCCCACAUAAUCCCCCAGUAGACAGUCGGUUGGUCAGUGGGAGCUGUUCCGUGGUGUGUUCUGUGGCGAACGGGAAAGAGGUAACAUUGUGCUGGUACAGAGGAGAGAAGAACGGGAAACCCAUUCACCUUCUGAAUGGCACACAUACAUAAUCCAUGUCUCAAGGCUUUAAAAAAAAUCCUUAUUUAACCUGUCU